UCUAAACGGAGCUGAUGAAAUUAAUAAUCAUCAAAUGACAUUAAAUUAUUUUAAAAAUGAUAGAAUAGAUCGUUUAUUAGAUAUUCAAGAAAGAAAGGUAUCAAAGAAAAAAAGAAAGAGAAAAGAAGCUGAUUUAUAUAAGAUAAUGAAAAUACAAAAUGAAAUGUGUAAAAAAAAGUGUCACUCGUUAUUAGAAUUUGAAGAUGAUAUUAUUUGUAAUUCGAAUAGUAUAAGCAUUGAUGAUAGAGGAGAUCUUCGGACUGAACUUAGUCGGCGACGAGCAGAAAGAUUAAAUAAAUUAUUACCAAUCCAGUCAACUCGCUUACUGCAGUCCGCUUUUCAAGAAGUUGUAAAUGAGACUACAGAAAAAAGUUUAAGAACAAAUCGCAAAUGUUUUUUUAAAGAUCAUAAUGAUUGAAGUCAUAUCACAAUAGAAGCCGAAUUAAGCGAUUGAUUUGAAGAAAAUAAAAUGAAUUCAAUUUUUUAAUUCAUAUAAAUUUAGUAAAAUGAGAAAU